AAACAGGAAACGAGAAACGAUUUCUGAACAUGAAACAAGAAACGAGGUCUAAACAUGAAAUGAAGUCUAAACAUGAAACGAGGUCUAAACAGGAAAUGAGAAACGAGGUCUAAACAUGAAAUGAGAAACAAAGUCUAAACAUGAAAUGAGAAACGAGGUCUAAACAUGAAACAAGGUCUACACAUGAAAUGAGAAACGAGGUCUAAACAUGAAACAAGAAACGAGGUCUAAACUUGAAACAACGUCUAAACAUGAAAUGAGAAAUGAGGUCAUAAACAUGAAACAUGAAACGAGGUCUAAACAUGAAAUGAGAAACGAGGUCUAAACAUGAAAGGAGAAACGAGGUUUAAACAUGAACGAGGUCUAAACAAGAAACGAGGUCUAAACAUGAAACAAGGUCUAAACAUGAAACGAGAAACGAAGUGUAAACAUAAAACGAG
ensembl:lncRNA